UACGGAGGGGGCUAGCGUUGUUCGGAAUUAUUGGGCGUAAAGGGCGCGUAGGCGGUGCGGUAAGUCUGUAGUGAAAUCUCUGGGCUCAACUCAGAGUCUGCUGCAGAAACUGCCGUGCUUGAGUGUGGGAGAGGUGAGUGGAAUUCCCGGUGUAGCGGUGAAAUGCGUAGAUAUCAGGAGGAACACCUGUGGCGAAAGCGGCUCACUGGACCACAACUGACGCUGAUGCACGAAAGCUAGGGGAGCAAACAGG
rnacentral:rRNA from 1 species